GUUAGGGUAUGUUUGUGCGAACCGGAGCCUGUGACCAGUUGAUCUCAAUCCAGGUUCAGAUUAAACCAAGAGUUGGACUGCUGCAAAGGCCUGGAGCACCCCUAUCAAAACUAACAACAACAAAAAUUUCAGUUCUUGCUUAUGCUGGAGAGGAAACAAAUUGAAACGAUCUGAACAACCAAGAAAAGAUCCUCUGAAGAAACGAAGGUUCAACCAACAAAUAUUCUUUAGUUCAUUCAACUGAUAAAAAAAUCUCUGUACAAUAAUGGAGAAACCAAAAGCUUACAAGAAGUGAAGUAAGAUGCGCAUGAAAAUUCUUUAGAUCCAUGAAUUUACAAAAUUCUUGUUAGGAUGAAGAUUGUUAAUAUCAUAAUUGUCCCUGCCUUAUUACAUUGAAUGUUGUGCCUAGUGGUUGUUGUUUUUUUGUAUGGGGGAGUCCCCAUCACAGUUGCUUGCUACUGGGGUUCUUAUGCGUCGCCUUUACGUUGCACUACUGCAAAGGCCUGGAGCACCCCUACCAAAACGAAGAAAAACUUUCAGGCUUCCGGAGCUAAGAAAACAUUCAGUUAUAGCUUAUGAUUCAUUUGUAAAUGUUUGUUGUAUCAGAGUUGAAACAAGUCCUGAUCUGAUCGAUGCUUAAGUAAGCUAUCUUUAACAUAUCGAAUACCAAUUUUUCCUUACCAUUUGAGUCU